rnacentral:rRNA from 1 species
UACGUAGGGGGCAAGCGUUGUUCGGAAUUACUGGGCGUAAAGGGCUCGUAGGCGGCCAACUAAGUCGGAUGUGAAAUCCCCAGGCUCAACUUGGGAACUGCAUCCGAUACUGGAUGGCUUGAAUUCGGGAGAGGGAUGCAGAAUUCCAGGUGUAGCGGUGAAAUGCGUAGAUAUCUGGAGGAAUACCGGUGGCGAAGGCGGCAUCCUGGACCGACAUUGACGCUGAGGAGCGAAAGCUAGGGGAGCAAACGGG